rnacentral:rRNA from 1 species
UCGAGGAUCUUCCGCAAUGGGCGCAAGCCUGACGGAGCGACGCCGCGUGUGGGAUGAAGGCCUUCGGGUUGUAAACCACUGUCACUCGUUAAGAAAGGGUCCGGCGUCAACAGCGUCGGGCACUGACGAAGGCGAGAGAGGAAGCCACGGCUAACUUCGUGCCAGCAGCCGCGGUAAGACGAAGGUGGCGAGCGUUGUUCGGAAUCACUGGGCAUAAAGCGCACGUAGGCGGUGCCGUAAGUCGGGUGUGAAAUCCCUCGGCCUAACCGAGGAACUGCGCCCGAUACUGGGGUGCUUGAGGACCAGAGGGGUGCAUGGAAUUUCCGGUGGAGCGGUGAAAUGCGUUGAUAUCGGAAGGAACUCCGGCGGCGAAAGCGAUGCACUGGCUGGUUUCUGACGCUGAGGUGCGAAAGCCAGGGGAGCAAACGGG